rnacentral:misc_RNA from 1 species
GGAAGUAAAAGUCGUAACAAGGUUUCCGUAGGUGAACCUGCGGAAGGAUCAUUAAAAAAUUGGACUCCAUUGGUGAGUUCAUUAAUAAUCCCUACCCUUUGUGAAUUUGUUUGUUUGAAUAAUUUUUUUCCAAAAAAAAUUAUUGAAUGUCUUUCCUUGUUUUGGUGGAGCUUGUAAAGUGAAACCAGGCAGGGGAAUGGCAAACAAUAAUUAUUUUUGAAAAAGACCUUUUUUUAAAAUUAAACUUUUGUAUUCAUUUGUCUAAAAUUAAUUUUUAUAAUAUAAAAACAACUUUUGACAAUGGAUCUCUUGGUUCUCGCAACGAUGAAGAACGCAGCAAAAUGCGAUAAGUAGUGUGAAUUGCAGAAUACGUGAAUCAUCGAAUCUUCGAACGCAUAUUGCACUUUUUUAGUUUACUAAAAAAGUAUGUCUGUUUGAGUAUCAGUAAAAUAUUCUCAUAAAAAACAUUGUUUUUUUUAUGGUUAUGAGUGUUUUACAACGAUAACAAGUUGUUUCACUUUAAAUUCUUUGUUAUCAAAAAAAUCAUUAAAAGCUAAUUUUAAAGAUUUUUUAAAAUUGGAUAAAAUUUUCCCGUAAAAAGGAAUAACCUAAACAAUUUUAAAAAAUUAAAAUUGGUUUGAUUUUUUUUGAAACCCAAAGGAAAAAAAACGAAAUUAACUUGAUCUCAAAUCAGAUAAGAGUACCCGCUGAACUUAAGCAUAUCAAUAAGCGGAGGAAAAGAAACUAACUAGGAUUCCCUCAGUAACGGCGAGUGAAGCGGGAAGAGCUCAAAUUUGAAAUCUUCAAGGUUUUACCUUGACGAAUUGUAGUUUAAAGAAGUGUUUUCUGUUGGAGUUUUGGUAAAAGUUCUUUGGAAAAGGACAUCAUAGAGGGUGAGAAUCCCGUAUUUGACCAUUAUCUCCAGCUUUGUGAUACACUUUCAAAGAGUCGGAUUGUUUGGGAAUGCAGUCCAAAAUGGGUGGUAAAUUUCAUCUAAAGCUAAAUACUGGCGAGAGACCGAUAGCGAACAAGUACCGUGAGGGAAAGAUGAAAAGAACUUUGAAAAGAGAGUUAAACAGUACGUGAAAUUGUCAAAAGGGAAGCGUUUGACACCAGUGUUGUUUUCUCGAAAAUCAAUUAAAAAAGGCCGGAUUUUGUGUUGUAUUGACUUUAUCAGCUUUCUGCACUCUUUUCUUGUCUUUUUUAAUGCACUUUUCGUUUAACAAGUCAACAUCAAUUUCUUUUGUUGUAAAAGGGUCAUUGGAAGGUGGCAUUCUUUUCGGAGAAAGUGUUUAUAGCCUUUGGCCUCUGCAAUCGGAGAGAUUGAGGUCUGCAGCGUAGAUCCUUCGGGGUUAGAUACAUUUGCGCUAAGUUAUAGCCUUUCAUAGACAACUUGUUGACUAUGAUCAGUCAUGUAGCUUACUCGCUUAUGCUAUUUUACCUACGCUU